AUGGAGGCGGAGGCAGAAGAAGCGAAGGCGCCGCCGCGGAUGAACCGCAGGCAGUGGAGAGCCUCGAGGGGGAACCGCGAGGACAAGUGGACGAGGAAGCGCCGCCUGCUGCUGGAGGCGACCGAGGAGCAACGCCGGGCGCAGGUGGCCGCAGAGGCGGCGGCGGACGCGGCCGAACGUGAGGAUGAGGAGGCCGUCGUGGCGAUGCGGUACCGCGACAACUGGAUUUCGACCUUCUCCCGCUUAUGCGGCUCCUACGAGGAAGCCACGUCCAUAAAGCCAAUGCGGUACACCGACGAGCCGCCACCGCCCUUUGCCGGUGUCGGUUAUGCUAAUGCCGUGGUCAUCUUCUCGGUGAAGGUGACACAGUUAGCUAAUAGCCUGGAUUGGCCGCUCGAUGUUUACGGCAUCGUUGCCGCGCGGGAUUCAAUUGACCGCAAUCGCAACCUCCUCUUCAACCGCACCAGAGACAAUUGCCAGAGGCUCACCUCAGGGGAUGCCUCUCUAUUGUUGACCGGUCCAAGUCGUGCUGUUGUGAUCGUUGAUCCUGUCAACUACGAGGUUGAACUAAAAGUGAAGGGUGACACGCCGUCUGAAGAUAAACUCUCGAGCCUUCUAGUCAUCGAGGACAAGUACUAUCUUCCUGGUGAUCACCGCCAAGGAGUUCAUUGCCACACCUACUCUUCUAAGCUAAGCACAGUGGAGGUGACGGUUGGCCAUCUUGCAAAGACAGUGGAGGCUACUAUCGCCGUGCAAGUUGUUGAGGGAUCCUGGCCAACUGGCCAUCACGGGCGAUUUGCUGCACGCAUGGCCAGUCUCCAUGAUCUGGAGAUGGUGCUACUUGAUUCUCAGGAUGGCAUGGUACCUGUUACGAACGAUGGGGCAAUUGAGUUUUCACGACGUGUUGUUUCUGUCGAAGCGGAUGGAGAGCUGACACUUGGUGUGGAUGUCUGGCAAGGUGAUGACAAGGCUGUGAAAUAUCAAGUAAGAUUUGUACCUAGAAAAGCAGGUAGAAGUGAGGAUAUUUGUGAUGUUGGGUUUUGUAAGAUGCGAUUCACUGUUGCUUGGUCGCUUCUUUUGAACUGGUGA
rnacentral:rRNA from 1 species